CCCUAGUCCUUCGAGCUUCAUGGUUCAAUUGCUCCUCUUGAUGUCGUGCGAAAGAGAUGGCUACCAUAAGCGUGUACGGUUGUCGCGCUUUAACUUCUCCUCGGAUCUCCGGCUUCAAGCCCUCAAUAAAUGUCCUCAAUAGCUAUUUUUGAGACCAAUCAAGAGUUUGAUUAGAUAACCUAUCAAACCUGGUUUGGUACUCCUGAAUGGUGGAGGUUUGUCGGAUCUUUG
rnacentral:lncRNA from 1 species